rnacentral:lncRNA from 1 species
ACUCGCGGCCCCUAACCUGCCCCGGGAGCCCGGGAGUGCGGCUUGGGAAGGAGGGAAAGGAGUGUGUGAGCAGGGAUUGGCCCGAACCUAUCUCCACGCUCUCCCCCGGGACUGGAGGUGAAGGGGGGCGUGGAGAAAAUCUCAGGGAACAGGGGCUUCGACAGGGGGCUCCCGCCCGCCCGAGCCCCCUCCCCAAAAUGCGAGGCCUGCACAGUAUGCCUUCUCCGCAAAACCUCGGCAAGCGGGUUAGUGAAUUCAGGUCACUAAGAAGCUGAGCCCGCGGAAAGCUGCCCAAACACCCCCUUCUCUAGGGGACUCCCCACGCCCCCCGCCGGGACGCGUUCCCGAAGUCGCCGCCUGGACUGCAACCGCGUGGCCUGCGCCGCGUCCUCUUCUCCGCAGCCUCCGAGGCCCGUGCGACCAAGCUGAAACCGCUUAUUCUCCGGAGCCCCUAUGACCCCGGGUGGGGGCCAGGGCUCGCCUCGAUCGCAGCCCGUGCGCCCUCCGGACUCCAGUUCGCCGGGACUGGGCGACACCAGAAGCGGCUAGUGUGAGUGAAACAAACGGGAAAUUUGCUCUGGCCCGCCUGCCCAGCCACCCACGGCUGCCUGUUGGCCAAUCACCAUUUGACCAGUCCAGGAAGAGCAACUGUGGCAGGCCUGAUUUCCUGGGAGGCCCCAGACUCCCUUUGCCUACCUCUUCCUCUCUGACCCCAUCCUCGCUUUGAUGCCCGGGACCUGCUACCCAGAAACAACGUGAGGCUCAGAGAGAAGAAAUGACUAAAAUUACACAGCUGGUACAUGGCAGAGGUGGAACUAAAAAGUUAAGUGUGUCUACCCCAGAGCCGAGUAGACCUGCUCUUUUUUGAACACUUCCUGGACUUUCAUGCCUUUGUCCCAGCUGUGCCCUCUCCCUGGAUGCCCCUUCCAUCUGGGCAGCUCCUACUAGACCUGCCUUGGCAUACAUAACACAGGAGAACGGAUUGCCAAAGGGUAGGAGAGUGCCUGGUCUAUAGUGUGCGCCCAACACAGAUUUGGUGAAUGAAUGAACACUGGGUCCAGCAGACCUGGAUUCUUCCAUGUAACCCACUGUGUGGCCUUGGUGGAGCCAUGCGGGUGCAAUAAUCCUGGUUUCCACCCUUCAGGGCUGCUGCUGGGACUCAGUGAGAUCAUCAUGUAUCUAAUGCCCUUUGCUCAGUGCUGGGCACACAGUCAAUGCGCAUUGAAUCUUAGCUAUUGCUACCUUUACAAUCAAUCAAAAGUCACUUCUGAAGAAUAGACAGGGCUCCCCCAGGCCAAAUAAAUAAUUCCUCCCGGGACAAACCCCAGCUCUCACUCCCUCCUCUUUAGGCAGGGGGCUCCCUGAAGGACAGAGACCCGGUUUUAUUCCAUCUUGCCGUCCCCCAUGGUGCCGGGCAUACAGUGGUGCCCAGUAAACGUGUGUGUUGCACAAACAUGCGGUAACUAGGGCCCCAUCUUUUUCAAAAGAACACACUCCCCAGGUGCAGCCGCAAAGAGAGACUGUUCAGCUGUUCAGGUGAGGUUUUGGGGUGAAACUCGUCUGAAUAAUAGUUUUACUGAACACAGCCUCACCCCCAACAAGGAGGCAAUUUGAGGUGGGGGUGGGGAGACUUAAAUGUGGGCUCCCGGGUUUUAAAGGGGGUAGCGCGGGAGGAAGCCCCCCAAUAAUUGCGGGGCUUCCCCCACCCCCAGAGCUGGAUUAGAGGCUGCGCCACUUCCUUUGGGGCUCGCUCGCGCUUCCUGGGAGCCUUUGAUGUGGGUUCUUGGUAGAUCCUGCCCGCGGGGCCUGGAUGCGGGCGGAGCCUCCGGGCAGGGCGGGGCCUCAGCCUGGGUCCGCACUGGGGAGGCGGCCACCCGGUAGCUUGGGCGGGUUCCGCCCACCUCCCGCCUGUAUUUACAGCCCCCUUCCAACAUCCCCGACUCCCUGAGGGCGCCCCUCAUUCUGCUCGGCCUUGCCUUCCCCAUUCGGCCACAUCCUCCUCUCUCCCAACUCAGCUUCGACCCCCAAAGCCUUUCCCUAACCAUCGGAACCACAGGCUUUUCUCCGGCCUCUGAGUGCCAGUCUUCAACUAGGUGUCUUUUAAAAAAUCAAAAAGCAUCUCAUCCUACGGGAUGUGUGUGAAAAAAUAAAAAUAAAAUAAAGAAAAAGGGGGCCGGGCGCGGGAGCUCACGCCUGUAAUCCCAGCACUUUGGGAGGCCUAGGCGGGCGGAUCACCUGCAGUCAGGAGUUCGAGACCAGCUUGACCAAACUAGAGAAACUCCGUCUCUACUGAAAAUACGAAAUUAGCCGCGCAUGGUGGCGCAUGUCUGUAAUCCUAGCUACUCUGGAGGCUGAGGCAGGGGAAUCUCUUGAACCUGGGAGGUGGAGGUUGCAGUGAGCCGAGAUAGCGUCAUUGCACUCUUGCCUGGGCAAUAACAAGAGCGAAGCUCCAUCUCCAAAAAAAAAAAAAGAAGAAAGAAAAAAAGAAAAAGAUAGCCCAUCGCUCCUCCAUUGCAGACCCAAAGGCUGUCAGCUGAAUGGAAGGUGCUUCCUCACGACCUUUGGGAUAAGUAAAUUUGAAGUAAUAGAAAUAGCCAGCUGGGCGCGGUGGCUCAUGCCUGUAAUCCCAGCACUUUGGGAGGCUGAGGGGGGCAGAUCACCUGAAGUUAGGAGCUCGAGACCAGUCUGGCCAACAUGGUGAAACCCCGUCUCUACUAAAAAUAAUUAGCCAGGCGAGGUGGCGUGCACCUGUAAUCCCAGCUACUCAAGGAGGCUGAGGCAGGAGAAUAGCUUGAACCCGGGAGGCAGAGUUUGCAGUGAGCUGAGAUCGCGCCAUUGCACUCCAGUGAGCCGAGAUCGCACCAUUGCACUCCAGCCUGGGCAACAAGAGCGAAACUCCAUCUCAAAAAAAAAAUUUUUUUUGAAAAAUAGGCCAGGCCUGCCUCAGUGCUCUUACACGUACUGUCCCCUCUGCCUGGAUCAGUUUGUGCCCCUGCCCCCAAAUUUUCAGGGCUGGCUCCCUCGCCUCCUUCAGAUCUCUGUUUGAAGUUCAGCUCAUGUCUGCCACAUGUCCUAACCACCGUAUUUAAAAUAGCAGCCUCAGGCCAGGUGCGGUGGCUCACGUCUGUAAUCCCAGCACUUUGGGAGGCCAAAGCAGGCAGAUCACCUGAGGUUGGGAGUUCGAGACCAGCCUGACCAACGUGGAGAAACCACAUCUCUACUAAAAAUACAAAAUUAGCCGGGCGUGGUGGAGCAUGCCUGUAAUCCCAGCGACUCUGUCUCAAAAUAAAAUAAAAUAAAAUAAAUAAAAUAAAAUAAAAUAAAAUAAAAUAAAAUAUAAAAUAAAAUAAAAUAAAAUAAAAUAUAGCAGCCUCUCACCCCACUCCACCUCUGGACUCCCUGUCCCCCUUCCUUGCUGUAUUUUUCUCCAUAGCAAUUACCACCACCAGCUGCCACACUCCAGAGAUUACCGUUCGUUUGUCUAUUGUCUGUCUCCCCCUGCUCACACCACCCCCAUUCGUGUGUGAGCUCCAGGAGAAGGGCCGGGGUUGCUGCUGCUCUGUGAGUCAUGAACCGUCCCCACCCCCUAGUCUGUCCUACAAAUUUGUUAAAUGAAUGAGCAAAUAAACAUAGUGGCUUCCCAGCUGACCAGUGAUGAAAGCUUACACUGCGUGAUCUAGGCUAGUCACUGCUGUCUUUCCCUCCCUCUCCUCAUCAGUGCAUUGAGAGAUGACAGUAGCUCGGCCUCUUAGAGCAGUAUGACGAUGGCACAAGUUACUAUUUGCCAAGCACAGAGCAUGACGUCAUGCCCAGAAGCCCAGGAUACAAUCCAGAGACAAUGACAAAUGGGGGAUUCCCGCUUCUGCAGAAGGUGGGGCGACUGGUGCCCAGGGGCCCCCAGGAAGUGCCCUUACCUGACUCCCAGGAUCCUCCUCUGUGACCCUGGGGCCUUCCAACCUGCCAGGUACUUUUCCUGUAUUAUCUUAUUUUAUCCUCCCAAUAGCCUCUGUGAGCAGCACACUCCCCAUUUCACAGACAAGGAAACUGAGGCUUACACAAGUGAAGUGACCUGCUCGACGUUGCACAAGGAAGUGGCAAAGUCAGCCUCUGAAUCCAAGCCGUUGGGCUCUAAAGGCCCUGAUGCCACUCAGCUAACCAUGUGGCCUCUGGACAUCACUGCCAUCUUUUCUCUUACCCUCCUCUCCUCCUUGCACUGUGUUCUGAGGGUCAGCCUGACAACCCGUGUCCCCUGGGCAGAUGUGCAGAGGAAGAUCAAGUUGUUGUUCGCCAGGGGCCGAGGGCAAAUUUCUGGCUUCCCACGGCCACCACUUACUGGGAGUUUCGGAUGAGGUGCUUCACUGCCCUGAGCUCUUCUUCCGGGUCAAGUGGGGAUAAAAAUAAAACAAUACCCACCUUGUGGGAAGACAUGGGAUCCUGAAAAACCUGGCAACGUGCCUGGCACAUGGCAAGUACUCCGUAAAUGUCAGCUAGGAUUAUUUUUAUCAUUGACACCAUAUUUGGGGGCCCCAGGCUGGCAGAGUACCUGCCAGGUGUCACCCCCUUCCUGAGUCCUGACAGUUUGGCUGCAGGCCUGCGUGGAGGCUUGGAAGGAAGAAGGGAGGAAAGGAGGAAAGGAGGAAAGGAGGAAGGGGUCAGGGAAGCCCCUCUGUUUGUUUUCUGUCUCUGAGAACUUCCCAGUCUGACUCUAGCCCCUUCCCCUCCCUGCAGGCACUAACACACAAGUCCCCCAUUCACCAGAAAUCUGUCCCAGGCUCCCUGGCUGCCAUGCUCCCUGGAUAAACCCACCAGGAUGCCCUCAGCCCCUGAGGGAAGAGGAGAGAGCUUACACUCCUCCGGGCCCCUAUUUCCACGCCCAUCACCAGGCCUGGGCCCUCACAAGGCUACACACACACCAGGAAGUGCCAGGAACACAGCCACGCCAGAGCUCUCACAGAUGCCUGUGCACACACACACACACACACACACACCUUUCCAGGCAAACUUGCAUACACUUUCCUAAUGGCCAGGUCUCAGGGGCUCUGUAGGGACCACCUCGGGACAGGACAUGGUCUUCCCUCCCCCAUUCCCAUUCCCCUUCCUGCCCUGUUUCCCUCUGUCUGUCCAUCCAUCUUCAUCAACCAGUCCCAGUGGGCCCCUGCUCACUCCCUCCGUUCCCCCUCCAUCCGUCCGUCCACACAUGGGUCCAUCUGUCUGUCGCCUGCCUGUAGCUAGCCCUGCAGUGAGCAGUCUAUCCCUACCCAGCCCUGCCCAUCACUUCUGCCACAACACCCCUGCAAGAUCCUGUCCCUGUCCUCAGCAGGGUCUCUCAUCAUUUCUCUAGAACCCACCCAUCUAUCCCCCCACCCCUUCAGCUGUGUCCUUCAUCUGUCAAUCUGUCCAUCCAUCCAGCCAUCCAUCCAUCCAUCCAUCCAUCCAUCCAUCCAUCCAGCCAUCCAUCCAUCCAUCCAGCCAUCCAUCCAUCCAUCCAGCCAUCCAUCCUUCCUUCCUUCCUUCUUCCUUCCUUCCCACCUUGGCCCAGCCCCUCUCAGCCCCCUCUGCAUCCCAUCCAUCACUUCUCAGACAGGCCUCCCCAGCCAGGUAGUCACCUCCUAGCGGCUCCAUCUGUCUGUCUGUCUACCAACCCAUCCAUCCAUCUGUCUGCCAGCCCAUCCAUCAUGCCACAGGCCACUUGUCCAUUCUUGCCACCUUUCACAUGUUCCCUAGUUAGGCCCCUGUGGUAUCCCCCAGCCAGCGCAGUGUAGGUGGGGGGCGUGUGUUCAUGUCAGUAGAUAUGUCUGUGGCCGCCAGCAUGCCUUGUGCUGAGCAGAGGGCAAGGGACCUGGAUGAGGAGCUGGGGAGGGGUUGGGGACAGGAAGACUGGGAACCUCUUGGUGGGGGGCACAGCAGCUUCCCUGUGUAUUCUCCCUGUGGUCUGUUGCACCAUAGGCAUCAAUGGCCUGCUCAAAAAUAAAUACACGACUGGAAAACUCUCCCACCUCCAUUCUUUUUCCUUUUUGGGGGGGUGGUGGGGACAGAGUCUUGCUUUGUCCUCCAGGCUGGAGUGCAGUGGCACGAUCUCAGCCCACUGCAACCUCCACCUCCUGAGUUCAAGCAGUUCUCCUGUCUCAGCCUCCCAAGUUGCUGGGAUUACAGGCCUGCGCCACCACGCCUGGCUAAUUUUUGUUUUUUGGUUUUGUUUUUUCUUUUCCGGGAUGGAGUCUUGCUCUGUCACCCAGGCUGGAGUGCAAUGGCCGGAUCUUGGCUCACUACAACCUCCGCCUCCCGGAUUCAAGUGAUUCUCCUGCCUCAGCCUCCCAAGUAGCUGGUAUUACAGGCACGCGCCACCACGCCUGGUUAAUUUUUGUAUUUUUAGCAGAGAUGGGGUUUCACCAUUUUGGCCAGGCUGGUCUCGAACUCCUGACCUCAGGUGAUCCACCUGCCUCUGCCUCCCAAAAUGCUGGGAUUACCGGCAUGAGCCACUGUGCCCGGCUUCCGUUCUUCCUGAUUACUUAAGAGGGGCCUGACUAAUGCCCAGCAUGGUUGGGGACCCAGGCCCCUCAAGCCCUGGAAGUCCCUUGCCUGGGGUCAUCCAGUCUCCUCCCUCAAAGGGCUCUCACUCCCCACCGCCGCUCCCUCUCCUCUUCCUGCUGCUGAGAGACGAGAGACCAGCAGAAAGAGACUUGGAGAGACGGAGACACAGAGGCAGAUGGAGAAUGCUGGGCGCCCGGGAAAGCCCAGGAAGGAGCCCGGGCCACGUGGAGGAGAGGCAGGUGGGAGGAGGCAGGAGAGAGCAAGGCUGCCCAGGACAAUGGAGCGGGACCGGAGGAGACGCGGGGAGGGACGCGGGCCAGGGGUGCGGUGGGGGGCACGGGGUGGAACUCCGGGUCCCGUAGGGCGGGGUGGGGGAGUGGGUGGGGGG